rnacentral:tRNA from 1 species
UACCCCGUGGUGUAACGGUAACACAGCGCCCUUUGGAGGCGUUAUUCUUGGUUCAAAUCCAAGCGGGGUAGCCC